CUCUUAUCAAGAGUGGUGGAGGGAAUAGGCCCUGCGAAGCCCAGCAACCUGAAAGCAAACCUUGUUUGCUUCCGAUGGUGCUAAAUCCUACAGAUCAUCUUGGAUCUGGAAGAUAAGAG
rfam:Oceanobacillus picturae, S1, WGS project CCAX01000000 data, contig: 000004